rnacentral:rRNA from 1 species
GAUGAACGCUGGCGGCGUGCUUAACACAUGCAAGUCGAACGGAAAGGCCCAAACUUGGUUGGGCACUCGAGUGGCGAACAGGGGAGAAACACGUGGGUGAUCUGCCCUGCACUUACGGAUAAACCUGCGAAACUGGGUCUCAUACCCGAUAGGACCUCUUCUUGCAUGUGGUGGUGGAAAGAUUUAUCGGUGUGGGAUGACCUCGCGACCUAUCCGCUUGUUGGUGGGGAAAUGGCCUAGCAACGCGUCACACAGGUAGCCAGCCUGAGACGGAGUACAGACGCAUUGGGACUGACAUACAGCCCAGACUCCUACCGGACGCCAACAGGAGGCAAUAUUGCACAAAGCGCCCAAGCCUGAUGAAACGACGCCGCAUGACGCAUGCACUGACUGACGGAGAUGUCAAACUCAUUUCGCUACUCGACUAAUCGUUUAAUGAGACAGGACCUGGAGAAUAUGCACCGGCUAACUACAUGUCAUCAGACGCGCUCAUACAUAUGCUGCCAGCGUUGCCCGGAAUUACUGAGCUGACAGAGCUCAUACGUAGUUAGUCGCGUCAUUUGUCUCAUCCCCCGUCUUAUCUGCGGAGACUGCAGGCGAUACGGGUCAAACUUGAAUGCUGUAGGGGAGACUGGUUUUCCUGGUGUAGCGGAGGAAUGCACAGAUAUCAAGAAGAACACCUAUGGAAAACGACUGUCUCUGGGGAGUAUCUGACUCUGAUGAGCGAACGCGUGGGUAGCGAACGAGAUUAUAUACCCUGGUACUCCAUGCCGUAAACGGAGGGCGCUAUGUGUGAGUCCCUUCCCCGGGGUUCGUGCCGUAUCUAACGCAUUAAACGCCCCCCCUGGGGAGUACGGCCGCAAGGCUAAAACUCAAAGGAAUUGACGGGGGCCCGCACAAGCGGCGGAGCAUGUGGAUUAAUUUGAUGCAACGGGAAGAACCUUACCUGGGCUUGACAUUCAUCAGACCGGGCCAGAGAUGGUCUUUCCCUUUGUGGUUGGCGUACAGGUGGUGCAUGGUUGUCCUCACCUCUCUGUCGUGAGAUGUUGGGUUAAAUCCCGCAACGAGCGCAACCCUUGUCUUAUGUUGCCAGCACGCUAUGGUGGGGACUCGUGAGAGACUGCCGGGGUUAACUCGGAGGAAGGUGGGGAUGACGUCAAAUCAUCAUCCCCCUUAUGUCCAGGGCGUCACCCAUGGUACAACGGUCGGCACAACGAGCAUGAGAGCCUGUGAGGGUGAGAGAAUAUCCGUAAAACCGGUUGUACGUUUGGAAUGGGGUUUGCAACUUGACCCCAAGAAGUCGGAGUCGGUAGUAAUUGCAGAUCAGCACACGCUGCGGUGAAUACGUUCCCGGGCCU